UACGUAGGGGGCAAGCGUUGUCCGGAAUCAUUGGGCGUAAAGAGCGUGUAGGCGGCCCGAUUAGUCCGCUGUGAAAGUCCAGGGCUCAACCCUGGAAUGCCGGUGGAUACUGUCGGGCUAGAGUCCGGAAGGGGCGAGUGGAAUUCCUGGUGUAGCGGUGAAAUGCGCAGAUAUCAGGAAGAACACCCGUGGCUAAGGCGGCUCUCUAGUACGGUACUGACGCUGAGACGCGAAAGCGUGGGGAGCAAACGGG
rnacentral:rRNA from 1 species